GCCUGGGUGGCUCAGUGGGUUAAGCAUCUGCCUUCGGCGCAGAUCAUGAUCCCAAGGUCCCGGGAUUGAGUCCCGCAUCGGGCU
rfam:Ailuropoda melanoleuca scaffold535_93, whole genome shotgun sequence.